GAUGAACGCUGGCGGCGUGCCUAAUACAUGCAAGUCGAGCGAACGGACGAGAAGCUUGCUUUUCUGAUGUUAGCGGCGGACGGGUGAGUAACACGUGGAUAACCUACCUAUAAGACUGGGAUAACUUCGGGAAACCGGAGCUAAUACCGGAUAAUAUUUUGAACCGCAGGGUUCAAAAGUGAAAGACGGUCUUGCUGUCACUUAUAGAUGGAUCCGCGCUGCAUUAGCUAGUUGGUAAGGUAACGGCUUACCAAGGCAACGAUGCAUAGCCGACCUGAGAGGGUGAUCGGCCACACUGGAACUGAGACACGGUCCAGACUCCUACGGGAGGCAGCAGUAGGGAAUCUUCCGCAAUGGGCGAAAGCCUGACGGAGCAACGCCGCGUGAGUGAUGAAGGUCUUCGGAUCGUAAAACUCUGUUAUUAGGGAAGAACAUAUGUGUAAGUAACUGUGCACAUCUUGACGGUACCUAAUCAGAAAGCCCCGGCUAACUACGUG
rnacentral:rRNA from 1 species